CACUCCUGCGGGAGGCAGCAGUGGGGAAUAUUGGACAAUGGGCGCAAGCCUGAUCCAGCCAUGCCGCGUGAGUGAUGAAGGCCCUAGGGUUGUAAAGCUCUUUCACCGGAGAAGAUAAUGACGGUAUCCGGAGAAGAAGCCCCGGCUAACUUCGUGCCAGCAGCCGCGGUAAUACGAAGGGGGCUAGCGUUGUUCGGAAUUACUGGGCGUAAAGCGCACGUAGGCGGAUCGAUCAGUCAGGGGUGAAAUCCCAGGGCUCAACCCUGGAACUGCCUUUGAUACUGUCGAUCUGGAGUAUGGAAGAGGUGAGUGGAAUUCCGAGUGUAGAGGUGAAAUUCGUAGAUAUUCGGAGGAACACCAGUGGCGAAGGCGGCUCACUGGUCCAUUACUGACGCUGAGGUGCGAAAGCGUGGGGAGCAAACAGGAUUAGAAACCCUUGUAGUCCCAUGAU
rnacentral:rRNA from 1 species